CCAUGUGUCAAACCGUGUGCCACAAACACACACACAUACACACCCUCAAUGUAUUUUUUUCUUUCUCUCGGAUAACACACACAUACUUCUCCCUCAUUCCACACACACACACACGCACACACCCUCCAUCUACAGAGAUCAGAGAUCUCUCUUCUCCCAAACACACACACACACACACACACACAGAUCGGAGAUCUCUCUUCUCCAUUCUCCGAUCUCUCUUCUCCCUUCUCCGAUCUCUUUUCUCCCAAACACACACACACACACGCACACACAGAUCUCUUGAUCUCUCUUCUCCUUUCGCCGUUGAUCGUGGCUCUGGCGAAGUCGGAGUUGGCUCAGUCGUCUCUGGCGGUGCGCCGCUGAGCAAGGAUCACGUUCAGUCAUCUGGUUCGUCUUCGUCUUCGUCAGGUUUUUGGGACAAAAUCGGCCCGGGAAUAGGCACACCGUCUCCGGCGUUCUUCUCCGACGUCGCCUCGGAGUCCGAUUGCACCAAACUCAAAAACAAUUCGCCGAUAUUUCCAAAAUAUCGCGAUAUUUGGCCGAAAACCAUUCGGAUACCACUUAGAAUAUCCAUCACCCGAAAAACCGAUAAUAUCGGCGAUAUUUCGCCGAUAUUAUCGGCAUUUUCUUCCAUGGUUAGGGAGACUCUUUCAUAAGUGCAACUAUCUAUGGAUUCUCGUUCAUUAAAUGUUUUUGGCACAAUUUUCGUGCCAACAUUAUAAAGUAUCAUAUCAAAAACAUGAGGUAGCAAAGAGUGUUUAUGGAGAGUCCCACUUUGAGAAAGUCUCCUUAACUUUUCUCAUAAACAAAUAUAAGGAUCAAACAGACAUGUGGUAGUGCUAGGGAUGACAACAGUUCGGUUUGAGGACGGAAAUACUAUUUAUAUCCCAAUAACCAUAAAAAUUAACUCUAUCCAUAACCGUAAAUUAAUCAUCGUUAAUUAUCCAUAACCAUACCCACCGAAUAACGGAUUCUCCAUCGGUUAACGGUUAUAUCUAUAUUCGUCAAUAAAAAUAAAUAUUCGUUCAGUUGAUGCAAUAUAAUUUAGUGGCUAAAUUGGAUUAAUGGUCCCCGUGGUGAUAGGAUAAUCAGAAGAUUACUCCCGUGGUGAAAAAAAUUGAAUUUAAACCCUUGUGGUGAAGCUCGUUAUGAUUCAAGCCUAAAAUUAACAUUUUCGUCAACUCUAUGUUAACCCAAAGUUAAGAAUCCCACCCUUCUCUCAAAGAUUCCAUUAGAUUUUUGAACCACAAAGUCUGAUUUGUUCAACCUUAAUUUUUUUAUCAGAAAAAGCAAAAGAAGAAAGGAAAAUUUCGUAAUACAUUGCAAAGGGGUAUGAUAUUCAUACACCAUAUUUUACUUCUCACAUACCUUUUUAAUUUUCGACCGUCGCAUCGGAUGAAUUGAAGAAGAUCAACGGACAGAAAUUAUCAAGGGGUGUGUGGAUAGCACAUCCCCAUUGCAAAUGUACGGUGUUUAUGAUAGUACGAAGCUGGAGCUUCUAUGAUGAAUGCACCAACGAUGAUAUGUUUCAAGGGGAUCAAAAGCUCAAGUAUCCAAGUGGGAACUCAUCCUUUGACAACAUAUUGUAUCAGCUACUUGCACCAGAGAGAAUGAGCUGAGGAGGAAAGGCUUACUCUAGAAGAAAAGGGCGGUUCUAUAAAGGCAAUAGAAAUGUUGAAAAAAUGACACUCAACUCAACA